UGCCAGCCGCCGCGGUAAUACGAAGGGGGCUAGCGUUGUUCGGAAUCACUGGGCGUAAAGCGCGCGUAGGCGGACUUUUAAGUCAGGGGUGAAAUCCCGAGGCUCAACCUCGGAACUGCCUUUGAUACUGGAAGUCUUGAGUUCGAGAGAGGUGAGUGGAAUACCGAGUGUAGAGGUGAAAUUCGUAGAUAUUCGGUGGAACACCAGUGGCGAAGGCGGCUCCCUGGCCAAAGACUGACGCUCAUGUGCGAAAGUGUGGGUAGCGAACAGGAUUAGAUA
rnacentral:rRNA from 1 species